AUCCUUUAACACCUUGUAGAUGGAUUAGUGACUCCACACCGACAGCUUCACUUGCUGGUGUUUUGUUUUUAAAUAAAUUCACUUUGAAACAUUAAAAUAUAACUAUAGACGAAGUUUUAUAUAAGGUGAAAACUCAGGUGCAGUCGACUUCACCUUUACAUAGCAUUAACCAAGGCAUCAAGGUAAUUAUAGGAGGAACCACCUUCUUCCAAACACAAAUUUGCCUUCUCUUUCAAAUUCAAGACAUUUUCUCUAACCUCCUUUCCUUCAUCCCCAC